rnacentral:rRNA from 1 species
CAAUAAGCGGAGGAAAAGAAACUAACAAGGAUUCCCCUAGUAACUGCGAGUGAAGCGGGAAAAGCUCAAAUUUAAAAUCUGGCGGUCUCUGACUGUCCGAGUUGUAAUCUAGAGAAGUGUUAUCCGCGCUGGACCGUGUACAAGUCUCCUGGAAUGGAGCGUCAUAGAGGGUGAGAAUCCCGUCUUUGACACGGACUGCCAGGGCUUUGUGAUGCGCUCUCAAAGAGUCGAGUUGUUUGGGAAUGCAGCUCAAAAUGGGUGGUAAAUUCCAUCUAAAGCUAAAUAUUGGCGAGAGACCGAUAGCGAACAAGUACCGUGAGGGAAAGAUGAAAAGAACUUUGGAAAGAGAGUUAAACAGUACGUGAAAUUGCUGAAAGGGAAACGCUUGAAGUCAGUCGCGUUGGCCAGGGAUCAACCUUGCUUUUGCUGGGUGUACUUCCUGGUUGAUGGGUCAGCAUCAAUUUUGAUCAUUGGAAAAAGAUCAGGGGAAUGUGGCAUCCUUGGAUGUGUUAUAGCCCUUGGUUGUAUACAAUGGUUGGGAUUGAGGAACUCAGCACACCGCAAGGCCGGGUUUUUACCACGUACGUGCUUAGGAUGCUGGCAUAAUGGCUUUAAUCGACCCGUCUUGAAACACGGACCAAGGAGUCUAACAUGCCUGCGAGUGUUUGGGUGGAAAACCCGAGCGCGCAAUGAAAGUGAAAGUUGAGAUCCCUGUCGUGGGGAGCAUCGACGCCCGGACCUGACCUUUUGUGACGGCUCCGCGGUAGAGCAUGUAUGUUGGGACCCGAAAGAUGGUGAACUAUGCCUGAAUAGGGUGAAGCCAGAGGAAACUCUGGUGGAGGCUCGUAGCGAUUCUGACGUGCAAAUCGAUCGUCAAAUUUGGGUAUAGGGGCGAAAGACUAAUCGAACCAUCUAGUAGCUGGUCU